UCUUACCUUUCCGAACAGAGAAGUUAAGCCCGUUAGCGCCGAUGGUACUACUACUGUGGAAGAGUAGGUCACCGCCUUUU
rnacentral:rRNA from 1 species